UACAGAGGGGGCAAGCGUUGUUCGGAAUUACUGGGCGUAAAGGGCGCGUAGGCGGCCGCCUAAGUCAGACGUGAAAUCCCUCGGCUCAACCGGGGAACUGCGUCUGAUACUGGGUGGCUUGAAUCCGGGAGAGGGAUGCGGAAUUCCAGGUGUAGCGGUGAAAUGCGCAGAUAUCAGGAGGAACACCAAUUGCGAAGGCAGCUCGCUGGGACGUUACUGACGCUGAGACGCGAAAGCGUGGGGAGCAAACAGG
rnacentral:rRNA from 1 species